GAUUAACGCUGGCGGCGUGCAUAACACAUGCAAGUCGAACGAUGAAGAUUAUUAGACUUCUUCGGAAUGAAAAUAAUUGGAUUAGUGGCGGACGGGUGAGUAACGCGUGAGUAACCUGCCUUACACAAGGGGAUAGCCGUUGGAAACGACGAAUAAUACCCUAUGAAACUAUCACUUCGCAUGAAGCGAUAGUCAAAGUGUUAGCGGGGUAAGAUGGACUUGCGUCUGAUUAGCUAGUUGGUGAGAAAAAAGCCCACCAAGGCAACGAUCAGUAGCCGGCUUGAGAGAGUGUACGGCCACAUUGGGACUGAGACACGGCCCAGACUCCUACGGGAGGCAGCAGUGGGGAAUUUUGCACAAUGGGGGAAACCCUGAUGCAGCGACGCCGCGUGAUUUAGAAGGCCUUCGGGUUGUAAAAAUCUUUUGUAUAGGAAGAAAAUGACAGUACUAUACGAAUAAGGUCCGGCUAAUUACGUG
rnacentral:rRNA from 1 species